rnacentral:rRNA from 1 species
GCCUAACACAUGCAAGUCGAGGGGUAACAGGGGCUUCGGCCCGCUGACGACCGGCGCACGGGUGAGUAACGCGUAUGCAACCUGCCUGUAACAGCGGGAUAGCUCCCUGAAAGGGGAAUUAACACCGCAUAAGACCACGCUCUCGCAUGGGGACGGGGUAAAAUAUUUAUAGGUUACAGAUGGGCAUGCGUGACAUUAGUUAGUUGGUGAGGUAACGGCUCACCAAGACUGCGAUGUCUAGGGGUUCUGAGAGGAAGGUCCCCCACACUGGAACUGAGACACGGUCCAGACUCCUACGGGAGGCAGCAGUGAGGAAUAUUGGUCAAUGGACGCAAGUCUGAACCAGCCAUGUCGCGUGCAGGAUGACUACCCUAUGGGUUGUAAACUGCUUUUAUAUUGGAAGAAUUGCGCUUACGAGUUAAGCGUUUGACGGUACAUUAUGAAUAAGGAUCGGCUAACUCCGUGCCAGCAGCCGCGGUAAUACGGAGGAUCCGAGCGUUAUCCGGAUUUAUUGGGUUUAAAGGGUGCGUAGGCGGAAAUGUAAGUCAGUGGUGAAAUCCUGCAGCUUAACUGUAGAAUAGCCGUUGAAACUGUGUUUCUUGAGUCCAGUUGAAGUAGGCGGAAUGUAGCAUGUAGCGGUGAAAUGCUUAGAUAUGCUACAGAACACCGAUAGCGAAGGCAGCUUACUAAACUGAAACUGACGCUCAUGCACGAAAGCGUGGGGAUCAAACAGGAUUAGAUACCCUGGUAGUCCACGCCCUAAACGAUGAUCACUCGUUGUUGGCAAACUAUAUCGUCAGCGACUAAGCGAAAGCAUUAAGUGAUCCACCUGGGGAGUACGAUCGCAAGGUUGAAACUCAAAGGAAUUGACGGGGGCCCGCACAAGCGGAGGAGCAUGUGGUUUAAUUCGAUGAUACGCGAGGAACCUUACCUGGGCUAGAACGCAGAACGACGUUUCGGGAAACCGGAAUUCUCUUCGGAGCGAUCUGCGAGGUGCUGCAUGGUUGUCGUCAGCUCGUGUCGUGAGAUGUUGGGUUAAGUCCCGCAACGAGCGCAACCCCUAUACUUAGUUGCUACCGGUAAAGCAGAGCACUCUAAGUAGACUGCCGGAGACAAUUCGGAGGAAGGUGGGGAUGACGUCAAAUCAUCAUGCCCCUUAUGUUCUGGGCAACACACGUGCCACAAUGGGUAAAACAACGGGAAGCAAGAUAGUGAUAUUAAGCAAAUCCCUAAAAAGUAUUCUCAGUUCGGAUUGUAGGCUGAAACUCGCCUACAUGAAGUCGGAGUUGCUAGUAAUCGCGAAUCAGCAUGUCGCGGUGAAUACGUUCCCGGGCCUUGUACACACCGCCCGUCA